rnacentral:lncRNA from 1 species
GGAUGACAUAGAGCAAGAGAUUUAAAAAUCAAGCAGUCCUGAUGAAAGCAAGGUGAACUUAUAGAGAUCUUUAAAAGCUCAUUUCAGUUGAAAUCCACAAUAAAAUCAUUGAAGAGAUUUUUUGUCAUGCCAUCUAAAUCCCAACAUGUUGAAAGGAAAGAUCCUGUAUGUUAGAUCCAUCUCAUAAUAUAGAAAAUUGGGAAUUAUAACAAUUGCCAC